UUCAGUUGAGCAGACGCCUUCGCAGAGUUGUAUAUUUGUGACUUCAUGACAUUUCAUAAAAUUCUGAAACAGCAGCUACAA